GUUGAUCCUGCCAGUAGUCAUAUGCUUGUUUCAAGGAUUAAGCCAUGCAAGUCUCAGAGUAACUGGAUUACAGUGGAUCUGCGAACGGCUCAUUAAAUCAGCUACAAUCUGCGUGGGGAAGGUGCCUUACGGCGUCCAGUCGGAUAACAAUGGUAACUCCAUUGCUAAUACGUGUCCGUAGAUUCCAUCACAGGUCCAACUGGGGGCCUUCGGGUCUCUAGCUGAGGUGGAAGCAGUUGACCGAAACAAAAACCAACUCUGGCAACAGAAGUGGUCCCCGGAUGAAACAGGUCAACCGAGCAAUAGCACAUCACCCUCGAGGUGGUGCCAGCCCACAAGAGUAUCUGCCCUAUCAGCUUUCGACGGUAGUGUAGUGGACUACCGUGGCGUUAACGGGUAACGGAGAAUUAGGGUUCGAUUCCGGAGAGGGAGCCUGAGAAACGGCUACCACAUCUAAGGAAGGCAGCAGGCGCGAAAAUUGCCCAAUAGCAACACUGCUGAGGCAGCGAAGAGGAAUAGCAACUUCUGGCACUCUUGUGUCAUGUAGAUUGCCAUGGAUGUUAUCUAAACCUGUCAGUGAGUAUCAAUUGGUGGACAAGUCUGGUGCCAGCACCCGCGGUAAUUCCAGCACCAAUAGCGUAUAUUAAUGCUGCUGCUGUUAAAAAGCUCGUAGUUGGAUCCAGAGCUCAGGUUGUAGGGUGCCUCAUUUUGAAAGGAAGGCGUAAUGUCGGAAUUUCAGGGUUUGGAUCAAACACGCUACAUCAAGACCUGCGCUCUAUGAACGGUGGUAAUGGUACCCUGUGAGUAGCCACUUUCGGGUGGUGAAAGCGCCUCCGCGUACACCAUGCGCAUACGGGUCGACCGCCGAUGUUACUGUGAACAAACCAGCGUGCCCAAAGCAGGCUUUCGUCUUGAAUGGUAAAGCAUGGAAUAACAAGGGAUCGAUUCUCUCGGUUCAUUUUGUUGGUUUUUAACCCGAGAAGGAACAAUAAAGCUGCGGCCUCUUUUAGUAGUCUUCACGACUUCUUAAAGACCGUAGCCCAGCGGGAUCAAUAGGGACUGCCGGGGUCGUACGUACUCCCUCGUCAGAGGUGAAAUUCUUAGAUCGUGGGAAGACGAACUUCUGCGAAAGCAUUCGACAAGAAUGUCUUCAUUAAUCAAGAACGAGAGUGUGGGGAUCGAAGAUGAUCAGAUACCGUCGUAGUCCACGACCGUAAACGAUGCCGUCUCAGGAUCGAAGGGUGUUCAUUCAUGGCCCCUACGGCACUACCCUUGAAACGAGAAAUCAAAGAUUAUGGGUUCAGGGGGGAGUACAUUCGCAAGGCUGAAACUUAAAGGAAUUGACGGAAUGA
rnacentral:rRNA from 1 species